rnacentral:rRNA from 1 species
CCUACGGGUGGCAGCAGUGGGGAAUAUUGGGCAAUGGGCGCAAGCCUGACCCAGCAAAGCCGCGUGAAGGAAGACGGCUUUCGGGUUGUAAACUUCUUUUGUCAGGGAAGCGUAGAAGACGGUACCUGACGAAUCAGCCACGGCCAACUACGUGCCAGCAGCCGCGGGAAUACGUAGGUGGCAAGCGUUGUCCGGAUUUACUGUGUGUUAAGGGCGUGUAGCCGGGUUGACAAGUCAUAUGUGAAAUCCUGCGGCUUAACCGCAGAACGGCAUUUGGAACUGUUGAUCUUGAGUACUGGGGAGGCAGACGGAAUUCCGAGGGGAGCGGUGAAAUGCGUAGAUAUUA